GACGAACGCUGGCGGCGUGCUUAACACAUGCAAGUCGAACGGAAAGGCCCUGCUUUUGUGGGGUGCUCGAGUGGCGAACGGGUGAGUAACACGUGAGUAACCUGCCCUUGACUUUGGGAUAACUUCAGGAAACUGGAGCUAAUACCGGAUAGGAGCUCCUGCUGCAUGGUGGGGGUUGGAAAGUUUCGGCGGUUGGGGAUGGACUCGCGGCUUAUCAGCUUGUUGGUGGGGUAGUGGCUUACCAAGGCUUUGACGGGUAGCCGGCCUGAGAGGGUGACCAGCGAAAUUGGAACUAAGGUACGGCCCAGGCGCCAACAGGAGGCAGCAGUGCAGAAUAUUACACAAUAGCCGGAAGCCUGAUGAAGCAGCGCCGCGGUCGUGAUGAAGGCCUUCAGGUUGUAAACCGCUUUCGCCUGUGACGAAGCGUGAGUGACGGUAAUGAAUAAGGAAGCACCGGCUAACUACGUG
rnacentral:rRNA from 1 species